rnacentral:rRNA from 1 species
CACGGCGCACGGGUGCGUAACACGUGGGUAACCUGCCCUUUGAUGGGGAAUAACCCCGCGAAAGCGGGGCUAAUACCGCAUAAGAUCCGCAAGGAUGAAAGCCGUAAGGCGUCGAAGGAGGGGCCCGCGCACGAUUAGCUAGUUGGUAGGGUAACGGCCUACCAAGGCUAUGAUCGUUAGCUGGUCUGAGAGGAUGGCCAGCCACACUGGAACUGAGACACGGUCCAGACUCCUACGGGAGGCAGCAGUGGGGAAUCUUGCGCAAUGGGCGAAAGCCUGACGCAGCGACGCCGCGUGGGGGAUGAAGCUUCUCGGUGUGUAAACCCCUUUCGAUCCGGACGAAUGCCCGCAAGGGAUUGACGGUACGGAUAUAAGAAGCCCCGGCUAACUACGUGCCAGCAGCCGCGGUAAGACGUAGGGGGCCAGCGUUGUUCGGAAUUACUGGGUGUAAAGGGUUCGUAGGCGGUGCGGCAAGUUGGGAGUAAAAUCUCUGGGCUUAACCCAGAGGCUGCUUCCAAAACUGCUGUGCUUGAGUGUGGGAGAGGCGCGUGGAAUUGCAGGUGUAGCGGUGAAAUGCGUAGAUAUCUGCAGGAACACCCGUGGCGAAAGCGGCGCGCUGGACCACUACUGACGCUGAGGAACGAAAGCUAGGGGAGCAAACAGGAUUAGAUACCCUGGUAGUCCUAGCCCUAAACGAUCAGGACUUGGGGUGCCACCCGUUCGGGUGUCGUCCCGGAGCUAACGCGUUAAGUCCUGCACCUGGGGAGUACGGUCGCAAGACUGAAACUCAAAGGAAUUGACGGGGGCCCGCACAAGCGGUGGAACAUGUGGUUCAAUUCGA